CAGCAGCCGCGGUAAAACGGAGGGCGCGAGCGUUACCCGGAUUUACUGGGCGUAAAGGGCGUGUAGGCGGCCUGGGGCGUCCCGUGUGAAAGGCCACGGCUCAACCGUGGAGGAGCGUGGGAUACGCUCAGGCUAGAGGGUGGGAGAGGGUGGUGGAAUUCCCGGAGUAGCGGUGAAAUGCGCAGAUACCGGGAGGAACGCCGAUGGCGAAGGCAGCCACCUGGUCCACUUCUGACGCUGAGGCGCGAAAGCGUGGGGAGCAAACCGGAUUAGAUACCCGUGUAGUCCCUGUCUCUUAUAC
rnacentral:rRNA from 1 species